rnacentral:lncRNA from 1 species
AACUGGCCAGCCACAACAGCAUACACACAGUGUUUAGCUAGUGCUACCGCUACUCAUGGCCUCAUGGGGGCGCUGAGAGAGCCGUGCAUGUGUGCAACCCAGCACAAAGGCACAAAGUCACAGCUAGCUUGUGCUUAGCUUAGACCUAGCAAAGCAAAGCAAGCAAGCAUCCUCUCUUCGAGCUAGCUGCUACUAGGCACUAGCUCCCACGUAGCAUGC